UACGAAGGGUGCAAGCGUUGCUCGGAAUCAUUGGGCGUAAAGCGCACGUAGGCGGCCUCAUAAGUCGGAUGUGAAAUCCCUCGGCUCAACCGAGGAAGUGCAUCCGAAACUGCGAGGCUCGAGUAUGGAAGAGGGUCGCAGAAUUCCCGGUGUAGAGGUGAAAUUCGUAGAUAUCGGGAGGAAUACCAGUGGCGAAGGCGGCGACCUGGGCCAAUACUGACGCUGAGGUGCGAAAGCGUGGGGAGCAAACAGG
rnacentral:rRNA from 1 species